rnacentral:rRNA from 1 species
GACGAACGCUGGCGGCGUGCCUAAUACAUGCAAGUAGAACGCUGAAGGAGGAGCUUGCUUCUCUGGAUGAGUUGCGAACGGGUGAGUAGCGCGUAGGUAACCUGCCUGGUAGCGGGGGAUAACUAUUGGAAACGAUAGCUAAUACCGCAUAAUAGUAGAUGUUGCAUGACAUUUGCUUAAAAGGUGCAAUUGCAUCACUACCAGAUGGACCUGCGUUGUAUUAGCUAGUUGGUGGGGUAACGGCUCACCAAGGCGACGAUACAUAGCCGACCUGAGAGGGUGAGCGGCCACACUGGGACUGAGACACGGCCCAGACUCCUACGGGAGGCAGCAGUAGGGAAUCUUCGGCAAUGGACGGAAGUCUGACCGAGCAACGCCGCGUGAGUGAAGAAGGUUUUCGGAUCGUAAAGCUCUGUUGUAAGAGAAGAACGAGUGUGAGAGUGGAAAGUUCACACUGUGACGGUAUCUUACCAGAAAGGGACGGCUAACUACGUG